GGGGCUGACUGGCUUUGACAGCGUGUAGAAGCGGUAUGCAAGCGUGCAGAGCGAUGAUGGCAAUGCUCUAUAAUAUCAGACAUCAAAAAAUUAAUUGGCGAAAACAACUACGCUCUCGCUGCUUAAUCCGAAGCACAGUAGGAUUGCUUAAUCUUGCGCAACAGUUGCGCAGACGAGACAUCGCCCGGUUGUCAUGGUCCCGAGACUAAUCGAUCGGCGGUGCAGCUAAAUCGGGAAUAGGGCAAGGCUUGCCUCAGGCCGAGUCCGAAAUUCUUAGAGGCUAAGGCAGCGGUUGGUCGUCCCGGCCUGCCGCCGCACGAAAACCAAUCGGAGACUACGCACGUAGAAACCAUAUUGAUUCCGCGUUUGGACGAGGGUUCAACCCCCUCCAGCUCCACCA
rnacentral:tmRNA from 1 species